AUGAGUUCUCAAGGAGACCAACGCGAACCAACAUCACCUGGACUGGAAGCUGUGAUUCAGAAGCUGGAGGAGUCUCUACUCUCUAGUCUCCCUGACAGAAGCAGCAGGGUAGAGGAGAGUAACCUGUCUCUGACACCAAGAGGAGAUGGACAGGAAUCUGCUGCGGCCAAACUCUCUGCCUCGCCCGUCUCAGGCUCCGCCUGCUCUACAGCAACACCUGUCUCCUCCCGCAUCAGACAGAUCCUCACCAGGAACCUGGCUGACCCUAACCCUGCAGGUAGACCAAGGCCAUACCUUUCUCAGGUCACAGCUCAUGGAACAUAAUGUAUAGAACAUAUCAUCAACCUACUGAUAUCUACCUCUAUCAUCAACAUACUNNNNNNNNNNNNNNNNNNNNNNNNNNNNNNNNNNNNNNNNNNNNNNNNNNNNNNNNNNNNNNNNNNNNNNNNNNNNNNNNNNNNAGUUCUGCUCCAGUGAGUUCUGCUCCAGUGAGUUCUGCUCCAGUCAGUUCUGCUCCAGUCAGUUCUGCUCCAGACACUUCUGGUGCAGACAUUUUCAAAUAGGACUAAUGAUGAUUCUGUCUGAACUACACAAUAGUGGAAAUAAGAUGGUGAACAACGGACAUUAUUCCAUGUGUUAUUUAGGAGUGUGUUGAUCUCCCCACAUCAUCUGUCUGUCUAGAACUAGAAUCACAGUCUUUCUCUGUCCUUUUAUAUCUAUGAGCUCACCUCAAAUACAUACCGACCAUACUUGUUGCGGUUUCGGUGGAGCGCCAGGCCUGAAUAACUUCAGUGCACUAGUGAGGACUGCAUGGCAUCCCAUUCACGAUUACUAACUACUCUACUGUUUUCAGGGAAGGGCUGUUUCUCUGUGUUUUAUUUCACCUUUAUUUCACCUUUAUUUAACCAGGUAGGCCAGUUGAGAAUAAGUUCUCAUUUACAACUGCGACCUGGCCAAGAUAAGGCAAAGCAGUGCGACAAAAACAACAACACAGAGUUACACAUAAACAAACGUACGGUCAAUAACACAAUAGAAACAUCUGUAUACAGUGUGUGCAAAUGAAGUAAGGCAAUAAAUAGGCCAAUAAAUUAAUUAAUUUGGGACACACUUUUUCAUUCAAGGGUUUUUCUUAUUUUUUUUUAAACUAUUUUCUACAUUGUAGAAUAAUAGUGAAGACAUCAGAACUUUGAAAUAACACAUAUGGGAUCAUGUAGUAACCCAAAAAGUUUUUUAUCAAAUGAUAAUGUAUUUUAUAUUUGAGAUUCUUCAAAGUAGUCACCCUUUGCCUUGAUGACAGCUUUCCACACUCUUGGCAAUUCUCUCAACCAGCUUCACGAGGUAGUCUCCUGGAAUGCAUUUCAAUUAACAGGUGUGCCUUGCUAAAAGUUAAUUAGUGGAAUUUCUUUCCUUCUUAAUGCGCUUCAGCCCAUCAGUUGUGUUGUGACAAGGUAGGGGUGAUGUACAAAAAAAAGACGAAGUCCAAAUUAUGACAAGAAAAAGCAAAGAGAAAUGUCCAUCAUCAUCAUCACUUUAAGACGUGAAAGUCAAUAUAACACGGAAAAUUGAAUGUUUCUUCAAGUGCAAAAACCAUCAAGCGUUAUGAUGAAACUGGCUCUCAGAGUUUACAGAGGAGUAUAGAGUGCAGUGAUGUUUCCUAUAAGGAGCAUUGGCGGCCGAAUGGUAAAGAACAUCUAGCCGCUUGAGAGCACCCUUACCUGCCGAUCUAUAAAUUACGUCUCCCUAAUCUAGCAUGGUCAUCUGAAUCAGGGUUAGUUUGCCAGCUGGGGUGAAAGAGGAGCGAUUACGAUAGAGGAAACCAAGUGUAGAUUUAACCUUAGCCUGCAACUUGGAUAUGUGCUUGGAGAAGGACAGUGUACCGUCUAGCCAUACUCCCAAGGUGUCAACUUUAAGCUCUAAACCCUCAGAAGUAGUAAUCACACCUGUGGGGAGAGGGUCAUUCUUCUUACCAAACCACAUGACCUUUGUUUUGGAGGUGUUCAGAACAAGGUUUAGGGCAGAGAAAGCUUGUUGAACACUAAGAAAGCUUUGUUGUAGAGCGUUUAACACAAAAUCCGGGGAGGGGCCAGCUGAGUAUAAGACUGUAUCAUCUGCAUAUGAAUGGAUGAGAGCAGAAAUCAGUGUUAACAAGCAGAAACCCCAGGCUUUUACAAGAUUAGAAAUCAGUGUUAACUCUUGUAACUACCCAUCCCGGAUCCGGGAGCGUUGUCAUCAACUGACACUAAUUAGCAUAACGCAACGGACAUAAAUCGAUAAUAGUAAGAAUAAUUCGAUAAUAUAUCAACCGGGACUGGUGGCUUCUUAGUAGGAAAGAGAGAAACAAUGGCCGCAUUUGUCCUUUACGCACCAAACACUCUGAGAGACUUCAGCUGACCACUGACGCAAUGUUGACGUUCAGGCUCAUUUUUUCGAAAUAAAAGCCUGAAACUAUGUAUUGUGACACUAGACACAUUAGGGAAGCCAUAGAAAAAGGAAUUCGGUUGAUAUCUCAUUCACUGCUCAAUAGGGACGCAUAGGGAACGCAGAGCUUUCUAAAUAAGAGUCCCUUCCUGAUUGGAUUUUUCUCAGGCUUUCGCCUGCAAUAUCAGUUCUGUUAUACUCACAGACAAUAUCUUUACAGUUUUGGAAACUUUAGAGUGUUUUCUAUCCUAAGCUGUCAAUUAUAUGCAUAUUCUAGCAUCUUGUCCUGACAAAAUAUCCCGUUAACUUUGGGAACGUUAUUUUUCCAAAUAUGAAAAUAGUGCCAGAUUCAACAAGUUAACAAGCAGAAAUCUGAGCUCAAAUCAGAAUUUGGGGGCAACAGUAGAUGAGCCAGAGGCGAAUAGCAUAAAGCACAAGAAGAAAUACAAUGAAAGCGUUUUCUGAGUAAGCGCACAUAAUAAGCUUUACAAGUUAAUUAGCCGACCUAAAAUUCAGAUCAGAGUCCGCGCUGUGUGAGUAUGUGUGUGUGUGGUGGAGGUACCUGUACCAGACAGGGGGAGACAGGCCAGGGAGAGAGGGGGGAGUGUGGUGGAGGUACCUGUACCAGACAGGGGGAGACAGGCCAGGGAGAG
rnacentral:lncRNA from 13 species